rnacentral:rRNA from 1 species
CCUACGGGCGGCAGCAGUGAGGAAUAUUGGUCAAUGGGCGCGAGCCUGAACCAGCCAAGUAGCGUGAAGGAUGACUGCCCUAUGGGUUGUAAACUUCUUUUAUAAAGGAAUAAAGUGAGGCACGUGUGCCUUUUUGUAUGUACUUUAUGAAUAAGGAUCGGCUAACUCCGUGCCAGCAGCCGCGGUAAUACGGAGGAUGCGAGCGUUAUCCGGAUUGAUUGGGUUAAAAGGGAGCGUAGAUGGGUUGUUAAGUCAGUUGUGAAAGUUUGCGGCGCAACCGUAAAAUGGCAAUGGAUACUGGCAGUCUUGAGUACAGUUGAGGUAGGCGGAAUUCGUGGUGUAGCGGUGAAAUGCUUAGAUAUCACGAAGAACUCCGAUUGCGAAGGCAGCUUACUAAACUGCCACUGACAUUGAUGCUCGAAAGUGUGGGUAUCAAACAGGAUUAGAUACCCGUGUAGU